UUAAAAAUUAUAAAUGCUCUUUUACCCAUGGGAACCUCGUGUGCAAUACUGCAAAUACUAGCAUCCUUGGUAGUGUAUGCAGUCUGUUGCUAGUGUGUUUUGUCUUAACGAACCUUGGAUACGGCC